CCUACGGGCGGCAGCAGUGAGGAAUAUUGGUCAAUGGGGGAAACCCUGAUGCAGCGACGCCGCGUGAGUGAAGAAGUAUCUCGGUACGUAAAGCUCUAUCAGCAGGGAAGAAAAUGACGGUACCUGACUAAGAAGCCCCGGCUAACUACGUGCCAGAAGCCGCGGUAAUACGUAGGAUGCGAGCGUUAUCCGGAUUUACUGGGUUUAAAGGGUGCGUAGGCGGUCCGUUAAGUCAGCGGUAAAAUUGCGGGGCUCAACCCCGUCGAGCCGUUGAAACUGGCAGACUUGAGUUGGCGAGAGGUACGCGGAAUGCGCGGUGUAGCGGUGAAAUGCAUAGAUAUCGCGAAGAACUCCGAUUGCGAAGGCAGCGUACCGGCGCCAGACUGACGCUGAGGCACGAAAGCGUGGGGAUCGAACAGGAUUAGAUACCCGAGUAGUC
rnacentral:rRNA from 1 species